rnacentral:lncRNA from 1 species
CCGUACUGAUCCCGAAGCCUCUGUCGCCGCCAUCCUCGGCCACCACCGCUAUGCUAUCUCUCUCGUACAUGACCGCUUCGAUCAAAAUUGAGAAAAGAGUAUACCAAGAAUAAGCAUGAGCAGAUUCAUGACUGCGUCGAGAGCUGGAGGAGUGAUUUUAUUCGGGAGUCCAAAACAGAUUUAACAUAACUAAAUCCAAAAAACUAAACAAACACAUCAAAAUUGCCAAGAACAAGCAUUCUAUACCCAAACAAGGUGCAGUUUAAAAUACAUACAUAGCCAAAAAUCAAGAA